GUUCCCAUCGAUUAGUGGUCAGAUCAUCACGUUGUGGCUGCAGCCCUACGUUGCGCAAAACCGUGGAGACGGGGGCUCGACUCCCCCUGGGAACA